rnacentral:hammerhead_ribozyme from 1 species
GCACUGCUGACGAGUCCCAAACAGGAUGAAACAGCUGUCCGGUGC